rnacentral:rRNA from 1 species
CGCCAGACUCCUACGGGAGGCAGCAGUCGGGAAUAUUGCGCAAUGGAGGAAACUCUGACGCAGUGACGCCGCGUAUAGGAAGAAGGUUUUCGGAUUGUAAACUAUUGUCGUUAGGGAAGAAAAAAGACAGUACCUAAGGAGGAAGCUCCGGCUAACUACGUGCCAGCAGCCGCGGUAAUACGUAGGGAGCGAGCGUUAUCCGGAUUUAUUGGGUGUAAAGGGUGCGUAGACGGGUUAGCAAGUUAGUUGUGAAAUCCCUCGGCUUAACUGAGGAACUGCAACUAAAACUGCCAAUCUUGAGUGCAGGAGAGGUAAGUGGAAUUCCUAGUGUAGCGGCGAAAUGCGUAGAUAUUAGGAGGAACACCAGUGGCGAAGGCGACUUACUGGACUGUAACUGACGUUGAGGCACGAAAGUGUGGGGAGCAAACAGGAUUAGAUACCCGAGUAA